rnacentral:rRNA from 1 species
AUUGAACGCUGGCGGCAGGCCUAACACAUGCAAGUCGAACGAGUGGCGGACGGGUGAGUAAUGUCUGGGAAAGUGCCCGAUGGCGGGGGAUAACUACUGGAAAGGGUUGCUAAUACCGCAUACUAUCAGAUGUGCCACGAUGGGAUUAGCUAGUUGGUGGGGUAACGGCUCACCAAGUCGACGAUCCCUAGCUGGUCUGAGAGGACGACCAUCCACACUGUGACUGAGACACGGCCCAGACGCCGACGGGAGGCAGCAGUGGGGAAUUUUGGACAAUGGUCGAAACCCUGAUUCAGCCAUGCCGCGUGUAUGAUGAAGGCCUUCGGGUUGUAAAGUACUUUUAGCGGGGAGGCGUUACCCGCAGAAGAAGCACCGGCUAACUCCGUGACAGCAGCCGCGGUAAUAC